rnacentral:rRNA from 1 species
UACGAGGGGGGCGAGCGUUGUUCGGAAUUAUUGGGCGUAAAGGGUGCGUAGGUGGCAGGGUAAGUCGGAUGUGAAAUCCCGGGGCUCAACCUCGGAACUGCAUUCGAUACUGCUUUGCUUGAGUACUGGAGAGGAGAUUGGAAUUUACGGUGUAGCAGUGAAAUGCGUAGAGAUCGUAAGGAAGACCAGUGGCGAAGGCGGGUCUCUGGACAGUUCCUGACACUGAGGCACGAAGGCCAGGGGAGCAAACGGG